rnacentral:rRNA from 1 species
UGGGGAAUAUUGGACAAUGGGGGAAACCCUGAUCCAGCAAUACCGCGUGUGUGAAGAAGGCCUAUGGGUUGUAAAGCACUUUCAGUGGGGAGGAAAGUAUUGUGGUUAAUACCCAUGAUAAUUGACGCUACCCACAGAAGAAGCACCGGCUAACUCCGUGCCAGCAGCCGCGGUAAUACGGAGGGUGCGAGCGUUAAUCGGAAUUACUGGGCGUAAAGAGUGCGUAGGUGGUUUAGUGUGUUAGAUGUGAAAUCCAUGGGCUUAACCUGUGAAUUGCAUUUAAAACUGCUAGGCUAGAGUGUUGUAGAGGGUGGCGGAAUUUCCAGUGUAGCGGUGAAAUGCGUAGAUAUUGGAAGGAACACCAGUGGCGAAGGCGGCCACCUGGACAAACACUGACACU